rnacentral:tRNA from 1 species
ACAUCUUUAACUUAAUUGGCAAAGUGGUUGUUUUCGACACAAUUUAAUAUGGGUUCGAGUCCUGUAAGAUGUU